GAUGAACGCUGGCGGCGUGCCUAAUACAUGCAAGUCGAGCGAACGGACGAGAAGCUUGCUUCUCUGAUGUUAGCGGCGGACGGGUGAGUAACACGUGGAUAACCUACCUAUAAGACUUGGAUAACUUCGGGAAACCGGAGCUAAUACCGGAUAAUAUUUUGAACCGCAUGGUUCAAAAGUGAAAGACGGUCUUGCUGUCACUUAUAGAUGGAUCCGCGCUGCAUUAGCUAGUUGGUAAGGUAACGGCUUACCAAGGCAACGAUGCAUAGCCGACCUGAGAGGGUGAUCGGCCACACUGGAACUGAGACACGGUCCAGACUCCUACGGGAGGCAGCAGUAGGGAAUCUUCCGCAAUGGGCGAAAGCCUGACGGAGCAACGCCGCGUGAGUGAUGAAGAUCUUCGGAUCGUAAAACUCUGUUAUUAGGGAAGAACAUAUGUGUAAGUAACUGUGCACAUCUUGACGGUACCUAAUCAGAAAGCCACGGCUAACUACGUG
rnacentral:rRNA from 1 species